rnacentral:tRNA from 1 species
AUGGGAGUAGUUUAUAUAAAAUGAUUUGUUGUGGACUAAUAGAAAGGUUGAAUUAUCUCUCUCAUA